CAGGUCACUCCUACGGGAGGCAGCAGUGGGGAAUAUUGGACAAUGGGGGCAACCCUGAUCCAGCAAUGCCGCGUGAGUGAUGAAGGCCUUCGGGUUGUAAAGCUCUUUUGCCAGGGACGAUGAUGACGGUACCUGGAGAAUAAGCCCCGGCUAACUUCGUGCCAGCAGCCGCGGUAAUACGAAGGGGGCUAGCGUUGUUCGGAAUUACUGGGCGUAAAGCGCACGUAGGCGGCUUUGUAAGUUAGAGGUGAAAGCCCGGGGCUCAACUCCGGAAUUGCCUUUAAGACUGCAUCGCUUGAACACGGGAGAGGUGAGUGGAAUUCCCAGUGUAGAGGUGAAAUUCGUAGAUAUUGGGAAGAACACCGGUGGCGAAGGCGGCUAUCUGGCCCGUAAUUGACGCUGAGGCGCGAAAGCGUGGGGAGCAAACAGGAUUAGAUACCCUGGUAGUCCACGCCGUAAACGAUGCGUGCUAGACGUUGGGCACCCUAGGUGUCCGGUGUCGUCGCUAACGCUUUAAGCACGCCGCCUGGGGAGUACGGCCGCAAGGUUAAAACUUAAAGGAAUUGACG
rnacentral:rRNA from 1 species